rnacentral:other from 1 species
CGGGUACUGCCCUUCUCGUAAUACGGUUGCAUUCCAGUGGCCUUAAGCAAUUCCGAGGGAGCUGGCUCUGUCCGGACCCUGGUUCGGUUACCUGGCGCCCACCUGUAUAAACAGGUCCUCCGGAAUGAGAUAACCAUACGGAAGGUGCGGUCCCGCC